GCUAGCGACGUGCCUAAGGUAUGCAAGUCGAAUGCCGAUUUAUCGGCAUGGCAGACGGCUGAGUAAUACAUGGGAAUCUACCUCAAACUCGAGAAUAGCCCAUCGAAAGGUGGUGUAAUACUCGAUAGUUCCGUUUACGGUAAAGCUCCGGCGGUUUGAGAUGAGCCCAUGUCCUAUCAGGUUGUUGGUAGGGUAAUUGCCUACCAAGCCUAUGACGGGUAGCUGGUUUGAGAGGAUGAUCAGCCAGACUGGGACUGCGAUACGGCCCAGACUCCUACGGGAGGCAGCAACUAGGAAUCAUGCGCAAUGGACGAAAGUCUGACGCUGCGACGUCGCGUGAGGGAUGAAGGUCUUCGGAUCGUAAACCUCUUUUAUCUGGGAACAAGUUCUGAGUGUACCAGAUGAAUAAGUGCCUGCCAACCACGUGCCAGAAGCAUCGGUAAUGCGUGGGGCACGAGCGUUAUCCGGAUUUACUGGGCGUAAAGAGAUGCGUAGGCGCCUUUUUAAGUCACUUGUAAAAUCUCCCCGCUCAACGGGGAAACUGCAAGUGAUACUGAAUUGGUUGAGUCAAGUAGAGGAGAGGGGAAUUCCUGGUGGAGCGGUUAAAUGCGUUGAUAUCAGGAGGAAUACCAAGUGCGAAGGCACCUCUCUGGACUUGUACUGACGCUAAGGCUCGAAAGUGUGGGGAGCAAAACGGAUUAGAUACCCGUGUAGUCCACACUGUAAACGAUCCCUGCUAGAUGUUUGC
rnacentral:rRNA from 1 species